rnacentral:tRNA from 1 species
UCUAAUAUGGCAGAAUAGUGCAAUGGGUUUAAGCUCCAUAUAUAAAGCUUAAGCUUUUUUUAGAA